rnacentral:rRNA from 1 species
GAUGAACGCUGGCGGCGUGCUUAACACAUGCAAGUCGAACGAGAAAUGUAGACGGAAACCUUCGGGCGGAAGCCUUCAUUUCGAGUGGCGGACGGGUGAGUAACGCGUGGGUAACCUGCCUCAUACAGGGGGAUAACAGUUGGAAACGACUGUUAAUACCGCAUAAGACCACAGCAUCGCAUGAUGCGGGGGUGAAAACUCCGGUGGUAUGAGAUGGACCCGCGUUCGAUUAGCCAGUUGGCGGGGUAACGGCCCACCAAAGCGACGAUCGAUAGCCGAUCUGAGAGGAUGACCGGCCACAUUGGGACUGAGACACGGCCCAAACUCCUACGGGAGGCAGCAGUGGGGAAUAUUGCACAAUGGGGGAAACCCUGAUGCAGCGACGCCGCGUGAGUGAAGAAGUACUUCGGUAUGUAAAGCUCUAUCAGCAGGGAAGAAAAUGACGGUACCUGAGUAAGAAGCCCCGGCUAACUACGUG